rnacentral:rRNA from 1 species
UACGGAGGUGGCAAGCGUUGUUCGGAUUGAUUGGGUGUAAAGGGUGUGUAGGUGUCCUUAUAAGUCGAACGUGAAAGCCCGCAGCUUAACUGCGGAACUGCAUUCGAAACUAUUUGGAUUGAGUACGUAAGGGGAGAAUGGAAUUCCCGGUGUAAGAGUGAAAUCUGUAGAUAUCGGGAGGAACACCAGUGGCGAAGGCGAUUCUCUGGUGCGAUACUGACACUGAAACACGAAAGCUAGGGGAGCAAACAGGAUUAGAUACCCCCGUA